rnacentral:pre_miRNA from 1 species
AGAGGGAUUGCUGGAUCAUAUGGUGGUUCCAUUCCCAAUUUUCUAAGAAAUCUCCAUACUGUUUUCCAUAUUGGCUGCACCAAUUUUCACUCCCACCAGCAGU